rnacentral:rRNA from 1 species
UACGUAGGGGGCUAGCGUUGUCCGGAAUCAUUGGGCGUAAAGGGUGCGUAGGUGGCGGGGCAAGUCUGGUGUGAAAUCCCGGGGCUCAACCCUGGAACUGCACUGGAUACUGCUUUGCUAGAGUACUGGAGAGGGAACUGGAAUUUACGGUGUAGCAGUGAAAUGCGUAGAUAUCGUAAGGAAGACCAGUGGCGAAGGCGAGUUCCUGGACAGUUACUGACACUGAGGCACGAAGGCCAGGGGAGCAAACGGG